UCUCUCUCUCUCUCUCUCUCUCUCUCUAUAGUCUCACUCUUUUCUUCUUCUUCUUCUCUCUCUCUGAAAAUGAACCUCAACCCGAAACCCUAAACUCAUCUCCACCACCAACAAUGUCAUCCUCCACCUCUCACCACCACCACCACCUUCUCCUAAAUCCGCCUCCUCGCUCCCUCUUCAUCUCCGCCACCAAAACCCCCAACCUCCUCUCUCUCCCAACCACCACCCGCCCACAUUUCCCAAUCUCAACCUCCCACUCUCCCCCAAACCCCACCCACCUCGCCUCCCUUCGCCACCGCCUCAACGCCUCCUCCUCCUCCGCCGCCGCCGGACCUCCCUCCUCCUCCGCCGCCGAAGAGUUUUCCUUCAAUCUGGACUAUUUCCUCUCGGUCGCCGAGCUCCUCUGCCUGGCCUCCUCCGCCGUGGUCUCGAUCGGUUAUGGUCUGAGCUCGGCGGUUCCGGGGUGGAAGAAUGCGGCGUU
rnacentral:lncRNA from 1 species